GGGUCAGUAGGUUGGUCGUGCCACCGGUACGUACUGGUCUCACUGAUUCCUCCUUCCUGAAGAACCGUAAUGCCAUUAAUUUGGUGUUGCGGGGAAACAGGACUGUUACUUUGAAAAAAUUAGACUGUUUAAAGCAAGCUAACGCUUGAAUACAUUAGCAUGGAAUAAUGAAAUAGUACGAUCGAUCCUAUUUUGUUGGUUUCUAGGAUUGACGUA
rnacentral:rRNA from 1 species